rnacentral:lncRNA from 1 species
GGUCGUACAAGAUAAAUACACCAUAUGGUACUUAAGACUUAUACCAGAGCACAGCUCUCUUUCAUUCUGAUCAUACAAAAAUAUACACACUUCAAUAUCGCACGGCCCUGCUAUACCAAAUAUACCCCUAAGUACAAGCUCUGUAUAACCAUGUAGACAUAGAAACUGUCUGCCUAUAGUCAUGCACUUAAAAUGGACAGGAAAAGGAAAAUUAAAGUAAAAAAGACAUGUAUACAUCUGUACAGUGUACAUACGUAUAUGUAAUCUAUGACAAUUAACACUGGAAACAUGUUAUUACUUACUUAAUGUAGUAGUGUUGUUUAGAUAUUAUGGGCAUUGUCAUUAAAGUCUUUUGCUCUUUUACAGAAUGAUCAAAGAGGACCCAGACUGUGGAGGUGUCCAGAGUCCACAUGAAGCUGCUCCCACUCCAGUCCAGAUUAAAGAGGAACCUAAGGAGAUUCAAAUCAAAGAGGAGUCGAUCCAUGCGUUCCCAGUCAUUGUCUCUGUGAGGAGUGAGAAAGAAGAAUCUCUGCUUCAUGAAACGGUGAAAGAGGAGAACAGAGAGGACAGAGACGAAGCAGAUAAUUCCUCUGACACUGACGACUCUGCAGACUGGACUCCUUCAGCUGAAAGUCCCACUCCACAAACACACACCGAACAGCUGCAGGAGUCGGCUCAUGGGAACAAUAUUGACACUGGGAAUGACCAAAGGCAGGAUAUGGCACAAGAAAAAAACAAUCCAGGGUUGGACGGUGCUACCAGUGUUGAACAGUGUGUAAAACAUCGCCUGACUUUCACCACCAUAUCAACUUUGGAUAAGUGCCUCAAAUGCGUUGGACCAGUAUCUUCCAUGAAAUGGCUUGGCUAUAAAUGCAAGGAUUGCUCAGGAAUCUGGCACAAGUCUUGCUUUGUUUGCAUACAUCAGAAAUCACCUUCUAUUUCUGGUGGGGAUCACAUUACACAAAGUGCAGAAGAGGACCAAUUUGAUAAGGAUUAUGUACCAGACUCUGAAUCACCAGACGAUGUGGGUGAUGAAGAUUUAGAUGAGCUCCCCAAUCCAAAUAUAUGGCUGACACAAAACUCGGAUACAAGUCUUGCUCCUGCUUCUAGUGCAUCAGAAACCAGCCAGCCAGUUAGUUCUUCAGAAACAGCCAGCCAGUUAGUUCUUCAUACACCUCAGAGUUGCAUUCAGAGAAUGGUCCACAAAGAGGAGAUUCACAGAUGACAAGGUCCAUAAAUUACUGCUUUAUCUGUGGUAAGGCACAAAUGAAAAUAUCG